rnacentral:misc_RNA from 1 species
CGUGUAACCUACGGCUUGUCUGAAAUGCCUGAGUGUACCCUGCUUUUGCGGCGUAUUCGGUGUGAUAAAUCUUCACCGGAGUUUCAACCUUUUGGUUGGCGCCUGUAAUGGUUUGGCUCUAUGCUUUCCAACCGUCCCUGACAAGGACAAUACUCUGACAAUUUGACCUCAAAUCGGGUGGGACUACCCGCUGAACUUAA